GACGAACGCUGGCGGCGUGCCUAAUACAUGCAAGUCGAACGAGUGGCGGACGGGUGAGUAAUGUCGGGGAAACUGCCUGAUGGAGGGGGAUAACUUCUGGAAACGGUAGCUAAUACCGCAUACCAUCAGAUGUGCCCAGAUGGGUUUCGCUUGUGGGUGGGGUAACGGCUCAUCAAGGAGAAGAUCCCUAGCUGGUCUGAGAGGAUGACCAGCCACACUGGAACUGAGACACGGUCCAGACUCCUACGGGAGGCAGCAGUGGGGAAUAUUGCACAAUGGGCGCAAGCCUGAUGCAGCCAUGCCGCGUGUAUGAAGAAGGCCUUAGGGUUGUAAAGUACUUUCAGCGGGGAGGCGUUACCCGCAGAAGAAGCACCGGCUAACUCCGUGCCAGCAGCCGCGGUAAUUC
rnacentral:rRNA from 1 species